rnacentral:rRNA from 1 species
GACGAACGCUGGCGGCGUGCUUAACACAUGCAAGUCGAACGGAAAGGCCCUGCUUUUGUGGGGUGCUCGAGUGGCGAACGGGUGAGUAACACGUGAGUAACCUGCCCUUGACUUUGGGAUAACUUCAGGAAACUGGGGCUAAUACCGGAUAGGAGCUCCUGCUGCAUGGUGGGGGUUGGAAAGUUUCGGCGGUUGGGGAUGGACUCGCGGCUUAUCAGCUUGUUGGUGGGGUAGUGGCUUACCAAGGCUUUGACGGGUAGCCGGCCUGAGAGGGUGACCGGCCACAAGGGGAGUGAGAUACGGACCGGGCUCAUACGGGAGGCAGCAGUGGGGAAUAUGGCACAAUGGGCGGGAGCCUGAUGCAGCAACGCCGCGUGCGGGAUGAGGGCGUUCGGGUUGUAAACCGCUUUCGCCUGGGAAGAAGCGUGCGUGACGGUAAUGGGUAAAGAAGCACCGGCUAACUACGUG